AACGAACGCUGGCGGCGUGGAUUAGGCAUGCAAGUCGAACGAGAAAGGGGGGCGAACCCCCUCGAGUAGAGUGGCGAACGGGUGAGUAGCGCGUGGGGAACCUGCCCUUGAGUUGGGGAUAACUCCCCAACGGGGUGCUAAUACCGAAUGUGUCCCGGCCCUCGCAUGGGGGCCGGAGUAAAGGUGGGGAUCCUUCGGGACCUGCCGCUCAAGGAUGGCCCCCGCGUCCCAUUAGCUAGUUGGUGAGGUAACGGCCCACCAAGGCGAUGAUGGGUAGCUGGUCUGAGAGGAUGGUCAGCCACACUGGGACUGAGAUACGGCCCAGACUCCUACGGGAGGCUG
rnacentral:rRNA from 1 species